rnacentral:rRNA from 1 species
GACGAACGCUGGCGGCAGGCUUAACACAUGCAAGUCGAACGCCCCGCAAGGGGAGUGGCAGACGGGUGAGUAACGCGUGGGAACAUACCCUUUUCUACGGAAUAGCUCUGGGAAACUGGAAUUAAUACCGUAUACGCCCUACGGGGGAAAGAUGUCCCGGGGAAGGAUUGGCCCGCGUUGGAUUGGCUAGUUGGUGGGGUAAAGGCCUACCAAGGCGACGAUCCAUAGCUGGUCUGAGAGGAUGAUCAGCCACAUUGGGACUGAGACACGGCCCAAACUCCGACGGGAGGCAGCAGUGGGGAAUAUUGGACAAUGGGCGCAAGCCUGAUCCAGCCAUGCCGCGUGAGUGAUGAAGGCCUUAGGGUUGUAAAGCUCUUUCACAGAUGAAGAUAAUGACGGUAGUCGGAGAAGAAGCCCCGGCUAACUUCGUGCCAGCCGCCGCGGUAAUAC